AAUAAAGGAACCAUGCCGGUUGCUGUGACUCCACACACAGAGCGAAGAAAUCCUCUGCGAACCCUGUGGGUUUAUAGAAGUCUAUCAAUCACUCUGUCAGUCUUCCGGAUCAUUAUUCAAGUUGCUGUCCCCAAUUUUGCUGGAUAUAUCAGAUCAGCUCCAGCUCCAUAGGCCCUUCCCAGCUCUGGGAUAUGAGGUGGACAGUGUGUUUUUCUUCCUAUUUUUAAAGACAACAAAGUGGAAAACUGGUGAAUAUUAUAAGGACACACUGAAGAAUGCACUCUUACUAAGGCAAUAAAAAAG